GGAACGGAGUCGGCCUCACCGAGAACCAGAGUGGCCCUGAGCUCGCGGCGAGCGCGCCGGGAUGUCACCGGGUCAGGCGGGGCCACGGUAACCCGACCCGCCCGCCGACGCCCCUCCCGGCCACUUCCUCCUCCCCUCGUGCGCCUCCGCCUCCCCGGGGGAUGAUCCGGCGACUCAGCCACCGCCUUCGCCGCGACACCGCGGCCGGCUGGGGCGCCUCAGCUCGGCGGGGAAACGCGGAACUGCAGCCGGUGGGGAAGGGCGGCUGCAGACCCCCGCGCUCUGGGCCUCGCUGGGACGUGGGCUGGCCAUGCCCGGGGUUAUCGAUCCUGCCCCGAGCCCCGGCGGAGCACGACUCCAUACCCUGCCACUCAUCGCCAGCUGGAGGAAAGACGAGAGGGCUGAGCUAGGCCGGGGAAGCCACCGUGGUGUCGGGUUUCUGUCCCUCCCCACGCGGGCCACUCCUGCCUUCUGCCCGGGAGGAGGACGUCCCCCCCCCCCCCGCCUGCUGCCUGCCGGGGUUGCCUUACCUGAUCACUCGUCGCGCGCCCUCAGAUCCGGCGUCCCCUCCUCCUAGCCUCCGGGUCGCUAGGCUUCCCUGGGCCUAGAAAGGCGUCUAGGAGUCGGGGGACCCUAGGGACUCGGCCUGCAGCUCUCGGCCCGGAUACCCUAGCGUGUUCUGCGGGCGCUCCAGGCCUCUGGACCCCGGGCCUGAAUGUUACCACGGGGACCCACGGAGAAGACCAAACCCAAUCAGCAAGGAUCCCAAAUAUUUACUUAGAAGUUCAAUGCGUUUCUCAGCAAAGAAGUAGGUCGAAAUCAGGUCCCCAUGCCGGCUUCCCACUCACUAAUUCACCUAAAAGAUUUCAGUUCCUGGAAAUGAAACCAUUACGUCAUUGACUUUCGUAUUCUGGUGCCUAUAAAAGAUGUUUAAAUGUUCGUUGGCUUUAAGUGGAUGCUUUAGUGAACAGUGUGUUUCCGGCCCAACUAUGUCAAGUCUUUCUUCACUAAGUACUCUACCCACGAAGGAUUCAGCUCUCAUCAGAAACCCAUUGAGCGCCCAUCAGACCUCGGCAUAACUUAGAUGAUAAAGGAGACCGAGAAAAAUCGGAAGCACUGGGUAGCAUUGCACUUGACAAAGAUGGUCCCCAAAACAAAACAAAAGAUCGGAACAGGAAGCAUCCAAUAGGAUUCAUGAAGAGCCCAAAAGGAAAAAGAUGCGACUGUGUGGGAGAAGGAUAAAGAGCCGGGAAGCAACCCCAAACAAUCCAUGUUUUCUUUUGAGUCCUCUCUGUCAAAACCACUGCAUUUUGGCAUUGUUCCUGUGUGCAUCACAUUUCAUCUCCAUCAGUGCUGUGAAUAAAAGGAGCAAAAUUAGAGAAGAAAAUGUUCUUCAGCAGAUAUAUUCAUGAAUUAAAACUACCCCUUGCUUCUAACUGCUCAGAUCACAACUAACUUAGAACAUGUUUUUGAAAAAUAAAAAGGGGGCACAUCUUUAAUCCC
ensembl:processed_transcript